AUCAGGAGGUGUAGAAGGAGUCAUAGUUCCACUAAUCAGGAGGUCUAGAAGGAGCCAUAGUUCCACUAAUCAGGAGGUGUAGAAGGAGUCAUAGUUCCACUAAUCAGGAGGUCUAGAAGGAGUCAUAGUUCCACUAAUCAGGAGGUCUAGAAGGAGUCAUAGUUCCACUAAUCAGGAGGUCUAGAAGGAGUCAUAGUACCACUAAUCAGGAGGUCUAGAAGGAGUCAUAGUUCCACUAAUCAGGAGGUCUAGAAGCAGUCAUAGUUCCACUAAUCAGGAGGUCUAGAAGGAGUCAUAGUACCACUAAUCAGGAGGUCUAGAAGGAGUCAUAGUUCCACUAAUCAGGAGGUGUAGAAGAAGUCAUAGUACCACUAAUCAGGAGGUCUAGAAGGAGUCAUAGUUCCACUAAUCAGGAGGUCGAGAAGGAGUCAUAGUUCCACUAAUCAGGAGGUGUAGAAGAAGUCAUAGUACCACUAAUCAGGAGGUCUAGAAGGAGUCAUAGUUCCACUAAUCAGGAGGUCGAGAAGGAGUCAUAGUUCCACUA